CUAGUCAGCUGUCAGUCCCUGUCAGGGGGCUGUGUUUACCUCUAACGAAAUUAAAAAAGUUAGGCUCUAUCGCCUGUCGUCUCUGUCGGACACAAACUUGUGAAACUAAUUUAUCGGAGCUUAAAUGACGAAAAUUCAAGACCAAUCCUUCGAGCUGGAGAAAAUCAGAGCAAGAAAGGAAAGUGACCGUCUGUGAGUCAAAACAGUAUAAAUCUGUCCGAUCGUUUCACCAGACUGAGGCAGGUAUAUGAAGAAAGACAGCACAGUAUACAUCAGGUGUGUUCAGAGCCACUCAGGAGGUUAUCGCGCUGCAUUUUGACAGCUCGGCGCAGCGAUACUGAAAAUUGAAGUGCAAUUGCAAGACUGAUCAGAAGUGAGUUCUGUGUGAGGCAAAGCAGAGCGCGGUCCUUCUACUGUAAGGGGACUACUUUUCCUUCCGCGCAAACGAGAAACCAGACAAGAGGACUGCAGUGAAGAGAAGAUCACGCUGGCUGUGGCUCGGGUACGCUCUCCCCCCCUGUGUUAUUCGGGAAUCGUAGUUUAUGGAGAUACUUCACCCUUUUCUUUACCUCUGAGAUGAUUUGUGUGUUUGUUUUUCUCUUUUAACUUACACUUCAGGAGUAUAACGUUACAUGUAUGAUGGCGCAGAGGAAUAAGCACUCACCCAGGGUGAACGUCAAUAUUUACUUUCAGUAUAGAUCCAUUAUAAUACACCCGACAGAGCUGACUUUUGUCAUUAAUAGCACAGAGCUUUGCAUUAAUAGCACAGUUUUUUUAAGAUGUAACUGCAUAUAUCCUGAGGUAAAUUGUUGUGCAGCCGUUUUGGGAAAAAGUAUGAUGAGUGCAAAAAAAAAAAAAAGUCAUCAUAUUGAUAAUUUAACCAUGUAUCUUGUAAAUUUGGCUUUUUGCAAAUCAUUUCUGCUCGAGUAUUUUUUAGGUUUGUGACUCAUUCUGACCAAAACAGGGAUCAGUUUGAGUCAUUGUAUUUCUUGGCUUAAUGAGAAAGGAAAGUUCUCAUGGGUGUUCAAGAGGGGGCUACAGGCCUGAACUGAAACUAUACUGUGACAGAAAAAGGAACAAGCUUGAAACUGAAAUUGUGAAGAGCAUAAGGUGUGGAGCAUACAUAGGUGGGGAGGGAGGUCACAAGUGACCACAAUGGGUUUAACUUGUACGAACAGGAUUUCAAGUUGCCUAAACAUCACACAAAGGUCUUUUUUAUUCCACAAUAACUAUUAAGCUUAAAGCUACUGUGAAGAUUUUUUUUGUCCAGUAACAAAACAGACUGACAUUGCUAUUGAUGUGUCAGUAUGGCCUACCAAAGCAAUCCAGCCCAUCAGUGAUGAGACUGAUUACUUCUGUUUAGUUAUUUUGGGUACCUAAAACUUCUGGCGAGGGGUAGGUGUCCGAUAAAUUAACUUACUGUAAAAUACUGAAACAGCCUUUUAAAAAAAACAACCUAAGAGUGAUAAAGGCAAAUGUGAGAUUCUUUGUUGGAAAACACUACAUACACAUCCACAGGAAAAAAUCAGCAAAGAGAGGAGGUACCACAUUGUCCACAGGGGGCGCCAAAAUCCACCCAAACCAAAUGUUCUUCACGGGAGCUUUAGAAAGUAGUUGGCCUCAUUUCACAAAUCAAGAAUAAUCCACACAAAGCAAGGGGGGGGGGGUCAGCAGUUUGAGAAACAGGUGGCCUGUUGGUGAAUCACAAAGGGUUGCAGUUCCCAUGUAGUCCAGAUGUUUUUUUGAAUGAGGCGUGUUACACCUACAGGAGCUUCAGGAGUCUCAUUCCAUGGAGAACCAAAACUUAGUUCACUUCAGAUGUCUUCUUGUCCACGCAUAAAGCACAGCACACAAACUUAGACAGAGACCCACUGCCAAAAUGUUUUAAUGCAUAUCUUCAAAACUUGGAGAGUGUCAAACUUUCUCUCAGAUUUGACUAAUUUGUUCAUAUAUCAGAGGACACUGAAACAACAGAGUGAUAAAAGGCUAACUGUUUUCCUUCAUCUGUCAACUUACUUGAAACACCAAACUGCGUCUUGUCCAGAAAAAAUGGUUAAAAUGUAUAAAUGGGGUGUGAGAUAUGUAGUAAACAUUUAAGAAUCCCCAUUGUUCACCCCUGUCUCAUAAAUGUAUUCAGUUUUCGUAUGAAUUUUUUUAUAGAUGGACUAUGGAACCCCAAUGUUACAUUCCUCAGGGGGUAUUUUAGCACUGGCUUGUCUGAUCUCCCGGAAUGAGGUGAAAGUAAUUCUGAAUGUACUUUAGAAGACACUGUUCCAAAAAACAACAACCCUGCAGUUAAAUUUUCUGUGCACUUACUAAACUCUAUAGUGCUUUAGUUAUUAAGAAAUAAUUAUCCCUUAAAAAAUUCCAGUUUACAGAAAGUUAAACAUUUGAAGGCUGGAGGACUGUUGGGAUUACUUUGUCCUUUAGCUGAUUGCUAUAUUGUCACUUUAUAUUGUGGCACUGGAUGCUGGCCCUCUUUGAGGUCAAUACCUAAGAAUCAUGCUAAAUGAAAUGAUCCGUCAUGUAAAGUGGGUUUUGUUUUAUUGAAAAACGGAUGAGAAGGAGACACCACUCCCCUGUAUUAGUAAUUCCAGACUGCCACCUGUUGGACAAACUCAUAUCACACAGACUUCACCACAUGUCUCUCAUCACUGAAAAGAAACCAGAUGGACGUUUUGUUUGACCACAACUGAUCUGUUCAUUUACAGUAUCUCAUAGGUCUUUCAAACUUUUAACUAAGUCCUAUAAAUAAGAGAGAGUCAAAAUACAAAGUGAGAAUUUACAAUGAAUGGAUGUUUCAAUGCUAUGUCUCCCUUUUAGAAAUACCUGAAAUUCACAUAAAAACAUGUAAGGAAGCAUUCUCAUUAAGCAUUUUAGGUCCUUUUAAAACAUGCCUGUCCUUAAUUUAACAAAAUAAUACAUUAUUCAAACUGGAAGGAAAUAGGUACAAGAGCAUAGGAGGGAGUAACAGGCAGUCUUAGGGACUAUAUUUUUUCCCCUUUUUUGUCUUUAGUUGAUACAUUUUUUCUUUCUAAAGGUGGGCAUCAUCUUUUGGCCUGACAAAUGUAUAGUUCCUGUGUGGUUGGGUAUGACAGAGGUGAAAAACAACACUUAUCAUAGAAGGUAUAGACCUCUCCAAACAUAACUCAUAGGCCUCAGCAUGACAAAAUGUAACCAUCAUAAUAACCACAAAUGAUAUCCCUUCUACCUCUUAGGACUCCAUGUCCUUUGUUUUAAUCAAAGGCUUUCUAGAACAGAAAAAAUGUAGUUUUGAAGCCCAACAUGAGAUAACCUUAAUGACAUCCCUUUGACUUCAUCAAGGUUACUUAAGGAUGAAGCCCUACAAAGCAAGAGAAAGACAUUAAACAGACUGUUUACUUCAGCUAGGAAGCACCUCCCCCUUUAACUGACCUGUUCAGGGUUUCUUAAUCUGUUCCAGUGGGGAACACUUUGAACGAACGUCAGGUUGAACGUCCAGGGUAAUUGUUCCAUCUCUGGGAACAUUGUGCUGUCAACAUGCUUAAAGGUUCUGUGGGGAGUUUUUAGCUGGUCGUAAAAUGGACUGAAAUUAAUAUUGAUGCCUCUUUAUGAGCUACAGAAGCAACAAGGCCAUUAGGAUGAAAAUCUUAUGUCUGCGUAGUUAUUUUUAAUGCUUAAAGCUCCUGCCAUGGGGUAGGUGUCACAAAGUGAUCAACAACAUGCUGGACAAAUGGCGUACUUUUACAUUUCUCACAUUAAACAUUGAGGGUGAGUGAUAUAUUUGACUGUUAAAGGCAAACAGUUUCAUAAACAAAAAAGCUAUAAAUGCUACUUACUUGAGUAGAGAGCAAAAUCAGCAAAGAGAUAAGAGGCGUCACUUUGUCCACAUGGGGGCAACAAAACCAACACCUACUGAAUGUUCAUUUUAGAAGUUUUUAACUAUUUCUCUCAAAUAAACAACUUGUAUUUCUGAAUUCACAUUUAUUCUUAUGAAAAAUGUU